AGCUAUUUGCAAUAAUUAUUGUUAUGGUUCUGGUCCUUGCUCUACUUGUUUAUGCUAUUUUUAAGACUAUUGUAUUCUGCAUUUACAAACAUACACGCAACACUGUUCCUGCAAAAUCCCCAGCUUGCUAUGAUGAAUAUAAGUUUAUGGUACUGGUCGAAUGCCUAGUCUUAUGCUAUGGAAAUAGUGGCCGAAGACAUAAUGAAAG